GGUCCUUUUAAAACAGCGUUGCCUUGAAGCAAGCACAGGACUCAGUUGUAGGACCCAGUGUAGAGUGAAGAUGGACUAUUUCUGUGGGGCUCAUGAGUUUGGAGGAGGAAGAUUACAGAGAGAAAGUAUAUUCUCAUCACAACAUAUCAAAGGUAUACUAACCAAAAACAUGACUUAACACUGUUGAUAUGACUUGGUCACCUGGCUGAGGGAGUGUUAAUAUGCAGCGCUUAAUGAGUGGGCAGUCAUGUUCCACCUUCUUGAGAGUGGAGUAUCUACAUAAAUUAUUUGUAAUUCUUCUGCAUGGGAUAUUUGUCUCUUCUCCCCCAUUUAUUUGAUUAUUUGUAUCCAUUUAGAUCCUGGACAUUUAUUUUAAUUCUAUGUUAAAAUCCAAUACAACUUUGUUUUUGUUGUUUUUGUUCAAAUUAUUUUAGCUUUGGCGUUUGGAAGCUGUUUCAGUUGACUCCUAUGCCUCUUAGACUUACUUCCGUCAUUUUGUGUAUAUAUGUGUGUGUGUGUGUGUGUGUGUGUGUGUGUGUGUGUGUAUGUGUGCUUUUGAGUACUGCCUUAAUUUCUGGCACUACAAAAUACUCCAGGCUCAUCUUGUAUAUUUCCUGCUUCCAUCCUGGAAUCAGCCAUUGCUCCAAGGCACCCUUGUUCCUUUUAUUGAAUAAAUCUGGUAGAGACCAAGAUCAUUGUGUUAGAUGCGCUGAUUGCUACUGUGGGGUCAUUGCUUCAAGCCCCUUGAGCCAUGUCUAUUCAUCUAUACAAGCAUCUAUAUAGAUAGAUACUAUGUUAAGUAAUACAACUUUAAUUAAUGAAAUGUAACUUAUUAGGUCAACCCAUAUGAAAUUGCUAUUUUGUCACAAGCAAAAAUUGCUAUGGUGUCAAAAGCACUAAAAUAUCAAUAAUUAUUCAUGGCUCAACCUAAUACUUACAAAAAAGUACAUAAACAGAUAUCCAUGCCACAUCCAGUAAACAAGAGAAAAGAACCAGUACCAGCACACACGCAUCUACCAUACACUCCUUCCUCCUAGAGAUACUCUCCAAUUCUGUAAUGAUUGCUUUUUUACUCACCUUAUAUAUAGUAUAAACUUUAACACUGAAGUGUGCAUUACAAAAAUAUUUAGCUUUUCCUGUUUUUCUUUUAAGUAAAUAGAAUCAUAAUGCAUGUAGCAUUUUGUGUCUUAUAUUUGUCUUGUGUUACGUAUA
rnacentral:lncRNA from 10 species